UCCUCCUGAGAGCCUCGUCCUCCAGGAGGAGAAGCAGGAUUUUCAUCCUUCCCAGCUCGCGAGUCCUCCUGAGGGCCUCGUCCUCCUGGAGGAGGAGCAGGAUGUUCAUCCGGCCCGGCUGGUGAGUCCUCCUGAGAGCCUCGUCCUCCUGUAGGAAGAGCAGGAUUUUCAUCCGGGCCGGGAGGUGAGACCUCAUGAGGCUCUGGUCUUCCUUCAGGAGGAGCAGCAGGUUGAUCCUGCCCAUGAGUUGAGUCUUCCUGGGGGCCUGGUCCUCCUGCAGGAGGCGCCUUGGUUCCACCCUGCCCGGGUGGGGACUCCUCAAGAGGAGCUGGGCCUCUUGGGAGAGGAGCAGAGGGUUCAUCCUCCCCGGGGGGCGAGUCCCCAUGAGGACGUGAGUGUCCCUCUGAAAGAGCUACAGGUCCUCCCUGCCCGGGUGCUGAGUCCUCCUGUGGUCUUGGACCUCCUCUGGGGGCUGCUCCAGGGUCUUUCCGCUCGGCUGGCGUCUUGGCCUCUGAUUCCAGGACUCCUGCUGGAGGUGUGAGAGAGGAAGAGCUUUGGUGCCUGCCCGCCUUGCCAUGUGCUCUUCCAAGGAGAGCAGUCCUCCCAGAGCCUUCCCGACCGGUCCCGGCCAGCCCCUCCUGGCUCUGCUCUCCUGCAGGCGGGGCGUGUGCCUUUGUCUUGGCUCCUGGCCCAACACCAUCCUCUGGGGACUCCCCGCUGUGCGGCCCCCACCUCAGCUCCCCCCACCGCGCCCAGAGCCCCGGCCCCCUCUUCUCACCUUCAGGCUGGGCCUCAGGGGGGGCCAGGCCUUCCAGGGUUGUCAGGCUCGUGUGGACGGUGUCUUCAUGGCCACAGCUGGCGCUCCUGCGCUCCCCACCAGCCCGGCAGAGGACCCCGGGGAGCAGUCUGUGUGGAGGUUCCUCGGGUGGCCUUCUGCCUUCCUCACCCCGUUCCUGGCGGGUCUCAGGUUCUGCAGGCUUGGCAGAGGCCAUCUCUGCCGCGACGACGCCUGCGGCCUCGGCCUCGGCCCCGGGAGAGCGGGAUGCAGCAGAGCCAGUCCAUCCCUCCUCCGUCCUCUCCUGGACUGGACCAGUAGGUGCCGGGCUCCCAGGUUCCAAGUUCCGUUGGCCUCUGUCGCCAGGGAAGUGAGGUCACUUCCUGGGGUCCCCCCAACUGGCCUUCCUCCUUCCCCACAGCUCCCCCAGGGUCCCUCUGGGCUGCUCCAGCUCCCCUCCCCCCACCAACCCCAUGGUCUCGUGCUGUGAACAACGGUCUUGGGCAUUUGACAGGGAUGGCGGUGACUCUGUGGACUGCCUCGGGGAGCAUGGUCCUUGGGCUACUAUAGGCUCUUGCAACGCAAGAGCAAGGAAGACCCACUUUCCAAAGAGAUUGGCUGGAGUUCCCACUGGGGCUCAGUGGGUUCGUGCUCCAGUCGUGUCUGUGGAGGCACCCGUUGGAUCUCCAGCCCUGUGCGGUGGGGAAAGGAUCGGGCAUUUCGGCAACGGUGCUGUGGGUCGUAGGCGCGGCUCAGAUUCCAUCCCUGGUCGGGAACUUCCAUGUGCCACAGGGGCGAGCCACUCUGGGGGCAGAAGCCAGGUCCAGCCUUGGGUUCCCGCUCGGGCCCCGCUCCAGCUCACCGGGUCCUCGGGAUGACGGCAGCCCUCUUCGGGGGCCCAAACCCAGAUGUGGGGCAGGCCAGAGGAGCCCGGCCCACCCCCAGCAGCACGCACCCCCAAAGGUCUCCUCCUGCCCUUCCAGGCCUGCCGGCCCCCUCGCCACCCGCCUCAGCAGGCCUCUUCCGGGGCUGCUCCCCCCGGGGGGUCCUGCCAAGCUGCCCCCGCCCCCUCGGCCUCCAUGGGACCCUGGCUCCUGCGGGAUCUCGUCGAGCCCUUCUCCAGGCCUUCCUUGCCCCUGCCUGACCCUCCACACUCGGCUCAGCACCCGCUCGUCCGCUGGGGGCCUUGCCCGGCUGUUUGGCCUCCUCCCGGAGCCGUGAGUGUCACAGGCCCGGAAGGGUCCAUCCUGUCAGCCGUGGAUGAGCUGGACGGCCAAGGGGGAGCCCUGGGUCCUGGCUGGAGGACAGAGCCUGUAUCAGGGUCCGGAACGCCUCGCUGUCCCUCAGCCGUGCCACCAUCCCUCAGCCCCCGCAGGGGAGGAGACACACAGGACCUGCUAGCGUGGCCCCGCUUGCUGGCCCAGGGUUUGGAGAGGGAGCGGUCUGGGCCUUCUCUCUCCCUCCUCCCAUUUGGUUUUGGCUGCCUCGCUUGCUUGCUUGCUUGCUUCUUCGUUUGGUGUGACUUUCUGUCUUGCUGGCUUUCUUUUUAGGGCCACAGGGCAAGGCACAUAGAAGUUCCCAGGCUAGGAGACAGAUCAACACUGGAUCGUUUAGCCAGUGAGCAAGGCCAGGGUUGGAACCUGCAUCCUCAUGGAUACCCGCUCUGCAAAUCAGGAGGUUCUUGACACUGUGCAACCACAUCCAAGAAUGAAUGCGACCCUGCGCUUGGUGAAAGGGCAGCUGCUGUGCACGAGUGCACAAGCCCCCGCCCCCGCCGUCAAUUCAGCUGACUUUGGACGGUCCUCCAACGGUUUCCUGGCUCUCGGAGUUCCCGUCGUGGCUCAGCGGUUCACGUGCCUGACGCACAUCCCUGAGGAAGCGGGUUCAAUCCCUGGCCUCACUUGAGGGGAAAGGCUCCGGCGGGGCCGAGAGCUGUGGUGUGGGCCCCAGACACGGCUUGGAUCCCCUGUCGCUGU